rnacentral:rRNA from 1 species
GAUACGACUCUCGGCAAUGGAUAUCUCGGCUCUCGCAUCGAUGAAGAGCGCAGCGAAAUGCGAUACGUGGUGCGAAUUGCAGAAUCCCGUGAAC